ensembl:miRNA
GGUCCUUGCCCUCAAGGAGCUCACAGUCUAUUGAGUUGCCUUUCUGACUUUCCCACUAGAUUGUGAGCUCCUGGAGGGCAGGCACU